CAUCCCUUAGGAGUGGUAGGUAGAGGUUGGGUAGCUCAGUCCCAUCAUUCCGAUUCAACUUGGCCCCAUGUACGCGGAUGUUGAUCGCUUCAAGAACUUUCCAGUGUAAGUCCCGUGGCUCUCUUUCCAAGAUUUUUGCUGGUGCGAUUUAGGCAACUUAUUUGGCACAUGAACUCACCUACCGCAUGUAAUCACAGAUUAUACAUUAUGUACUCGUAAGCCUGAGAAUUCAGCAUCUGUGACCGAGACACUUCCAUCACGCAGCAUUUGGAGAGCGAGGAGGGAAAGAGACAGAGACCACGGAGUAGCUCCGCUAAAAUGGCAAAGCUUUGUGGAGUCCUUUGUUUCAUUGCUUGGUUACUGUUCACAGCCCAGGCGUCUUGUCCAGAUAAGGAGUCACAACUACAACUAUGGAGACCCGGAAAUAACCCGGCCGCUGACGUCAUAAUCCCCAAAGGCAAACGUUAUCUGUUGGACAGGUCGACAACAGUUAAAAGCAUUACCAUUCAGGAUGGU